rnacentral:rRNA from 1 species
AUUGAACGCUGGCGGCAGGCCUAACACAUGCAAGUCGAGCGGAUGAGGGAAGCUUGCUUCCCGAUUUAGCGGCGGACGGGUGAGUAAUGCCUAGGAAUCUGCCUAUUAGUGGGGGAUAACGUUCCGAAAGGAACGCUAAUACCGCAUACGUCCUACGGGAGAAAGUGGGGGAUCUUCGGACCUCACGCUAAUAGAUGAGCCUAGGUCGGAUUAGCUAGUUGGUGAGGUAACGGCUCACCAAGGCGAUGAUCCGUAGCUGGUCUGAGAGGAUGAUCAGCCACACUGGAACUGAGACACGGUCCAGACUCCUACGGGAGGCAGCAGUGGGGAAUAUUGGACAAUGGGCGAAAGCCUGAUCCAGCCAUGCCGCGUGUGUGAAGAAGGUCUUCGGAUUGUAAAGCACUUUAAGUUGGGAGGAAGAGUUGUAAGCUAAUAUCUUGCAGCUUUGACGUUACCAACAGAAUAAGCACCGGCUAACUCUGUGCCAGCAGCCGCCGUAACAC